GACGAACGCUGGCGGCGUGCUUAACACAUGCAAGUCGAACGAUGAAGCCGGAGCUUGCUCCGGUGGAUUAGUGGCGAACGGGUGAGUAACACGUGAGCAAUCUGCCCUUGACUCUGGGAUAACUGCGGGAAACUGUAGCUAAUACCGGAUACGACACCUUGGGGCAUCCCAGGGUGUGGAAAGAAUUUCGGUCAAGGAUGAGCUCGCGGCCUAUCAGCUAGUUGGUGAGGUAAUGGCGCACCAAGGCGACGACGGGAAGCCGGCCUGAGAGGGUGACCGGCCACACUGGAACUGAGAAACGGGCCAGACUCCUACGGGAGGCAGCAGUGGGGAAUAUUGCACAAUGGGCGAAAGACUGAUGCAGCAACGCCGCGUGAGGGAUGAAGGCCUUCGGGUUGUAAACCUCUUUUAGCAGGGAAGAAGCGAAAGUGACGGUACCUGCAGAAAAAGCACCGGCUAACUACGUGCCAGCAGCCGCCGUAA
rnacentral:rRNA from 1 species